UGGUGGUAGGAGGGCGCUCAGCUUAUAAAGCGGGGAGGAGGCGCAGUGCUCCGGGCUGCACGAGGAGGAAGAUGGGGGAUGGAGGAGCUCCUCGUUAUCGCGGGGUCGGCGCAGAACUAAAUGUUGAACCGCGAAGCAAAGAGACCAAAAAAAAGCCAAGUUAGAUGUGAUGGCGCGGACUGGACUCACUGUGGAGGUCUCUGAGGUUACAGACAGGAAGUGAGUGUACAGAUGUUUCAGAGCAGGACGGAAAAUCAGCCCAAAUUUCUUUAUUAUGGCUUUAAUUCACCAAAAUCACAGAGAACACCUGCUGUGGCUGUAAACAGCUGGAUGAACAGCAGGCUGAGCUUCUAGAACAAUCAGGAAACAGAGGAGGAGCCUCUCCCCUCCCUGUUACAGCGCUGCCUCAUGAUCUGGAAGUUUCCUCGUGAUUUUAAACACAGGAAUCAAAUCGGAGCUCAUGGAAUAAUCUUGAAAUCAGGAUUUAUGUCAACAAGGAAAAUACUUUACAAAAGAAGGAAACUUUAAUCAGAGAAAUUACAUUUAUAUUAAGCUGGACUAACCAGCAUAGAAACAAACAAAUGCUCAAAUGUGAUUAGAUAACAUCUGCAGUUGCCUUCCAGAACAUUCUGCUGUAAUAUUUACAGUAAAUAUCAAAUUUGAAUGUUUUUAUUUUAUGAAUAAAACAGUCGGGCUGCCACAAAUGAAAGAUUUAGCUGCAGGAGAAAGCUUAAAAUCAGCAUUUUACUCAGACGUUUGUGUUUAGAUAAAACUAUCUGUAGCUGCCUUCCAGAACGUUCUGCACAAUAUUCACAUCGUCAUAGAGAAAACUCAAAUAACUGGGCCUGAACUCUGAAACCAUCUGUUAGAUUUAAUGAGUAAAAAUGAAAAAUCAAACCUUUUUUUUGGCUGUAAACAGCUGGAUAAGCUGGAAAAAGCAAGCUGAGCUUCCAGAACAAUCCCUGAGUAAAGGGAGGAGGAGCCCCUCCCCUCCCUGUUGCUGCCUCAUGAUCUGGAAGUUUCCUCACUGAGGACCAAAAUCUUGUGAUUUUAAAAACAGGAAUAAAAUCUGUGCUUGUGGAAUAAUCCUGAAAUCAGGAUUUAUGAGAACAAGAAAAUAUUGUUAGAAUUACAAAAAGGUGGAGCUCUCUGGAGACUCAGGGGACUUCUCCACCCCUCAGAACAAAAUCAUUUAGAAGGAUAUGAUUUAUUUUUUUAUUUUAUUUUUUUAAAUUCAGAGAUAUUUAAACUGGAUUAAGUGACAUGGAAACACUUAAUCUCCUGCUACUCAGAGAUGUUGUUUAAUUAUAAUAUCUGUACCUUCCAGAAUAGUCUGAGUAAUAUUUAUAUUUCCUCACAUUUAUAGUGACGAUCAAAGAGAAGCCUGUUGUUAAAGGUAAAAAUAUUCAGACAGGCUCUGCAGCUUUAAAGCAGCUCAAUGUUUUUCUAGAACAAUCCUCACGCUCACUGUUAUUACUCUGCUGGAAGCAAGUCUGAUUUAUUUUUAAUUUCUUUAAGCUGAACAACCAACCUGAGAAACCAAGUCAGGAUUUAAGAACAAAGUGACGUUACUGGAUUUUAAAAAAAGGUUCACAUGGAAAAAAACCUCCAGAACCACAGAGAGGAAAAUACUUAUUAAAAACCCAAAUUUUAGUCACAGCAUUCCGUCUGAACCUGGACUGACUGGAUAGACGUGAACACCUGCCAUCUUCCAAAAAUAUUCUGCACAUUAUUUAUAUUUGAUUAUUCUUCUGCAGUAAGUUUAAACCAGGAGUCACCAAAUCUGUCCCCGAAUAUGAAAUGAGGAUGAUGUUUAGAGGGCGGGGUUAUACAGGAUGACCUGAGCCAAUAAGACUGAUUCAAACUACAAAGUCAAUGGUGGAAUUUUUAAAAAAGCACAAAAAAAACAAAAAACUCACCUGCUGGGAAAAGGUUUAGUAGUUAUGAGCAUGUCAGUGUCCACAGAUCAAAGUCUUUAAAAUUCUUUCAAAUCCUCAUAUUUAAUCAUGUUUACAGUAAAUAUAAAGGAUUUGAUAGGUUCAGCUUCAGGACUGUGUGCAAACCGCAGUACAACAACUGGCCAGCAGGUGUCAGCAAAGCCUCAGGUCUGCUUACAAAUGUUAAUAAUAAACCUGAGCGAGUACAUUACUGAUGCUCUGUGCUCCGACAGACCCUCAUUAUCAUGUCUGUAGGUACCUUCCAGAAUAAUCUGAAGAGUUUCAUCUAAAGAGAAGUUUCAUGAAGAGCUGGGUGGACUUAUUUGGUUUAAAGAUGUUUCUGCAGUAAAUGAGUAAGAGCAGGGAUGGGGACAGUUUAUUAGGCAUGCUACAGACUCGUCCUCCAUGAACUGCCAUAAAUUACAGCAUGAAUAACAAGCAGGAUAUAGACCUGCAAAGCCCAGAGGGAUGUGAGCACACUUACAGAUGUCAGUGUUUUGUAGGUUUGCUGUUGAAGUGAUGGCUCUUGGGCCUGUGGGUUUAGUCUUCCUGUAUAAAAUCACUUUUCCUGAAAGGUUUUUACGCUCCUCGCUGCAGAGGUAUGUUAGCUGUGUGACUGGUGAGCGUGCUCAGCCUGAAAGCUCUCAUGCAGCAGGUAAAAUAUCUGACUGGGUCAAAUUUGCAGAAAUGGUGAAACUGAGGUGUAAAUAUUUCACUGAGUGCAGCUUUCCCAACUCUGUAAAGGCGGUGAGCGUGACGAGGCUGACGUCUCUGACGUUUGAGUUCAUUUUCUGUCCUAAUCACUGAAACGUGUUCCAGCUGCUGUGUCUGUGUAGGCUGUGUUUUAUUUACAAAUGCUUUUCCACAUCUCUGCUCUGACUGAUGCUGCUGCACUGACCCGCUGACAGCCUUUCCUCCUCCAGAGUCCAAACUGGGGUUAAACUGGUCCUGAUGAAGGACACCAGGUCACCCUGUUCGUGUAAAUGUUGAUGUGGGGGGGGAACUUUUUUUUUUUUUUUUUUUCUGCAGUCUGAGGUUCGAAGGUAACUUGGAUUUUAAAAGGACAACAAACAUGGUCACAUGACUGAACUGGGAGAACUGGAUUUGUGUACAAAGAGCUGAAUUGAUGUAAAUUCUAUGGAUGCUGUGGUUUCUUUCUGCUGCAGAGCAGUUAUGGAAAAACAAAAUUAAACUACAACAAACAACAA